GAUGAAGAACGUAGUGAAAUGCGAUAAGUAAUGCGAAUUGCAGAAUUUCCGUGAGUCAUCGAAUCUUUGAACGCACAUUGCGCCCGCCAGUAUUCUGGCGGGCAUGCCUGUUCGAGCGUCAUUUCAACCCUCAAGCACAGCUUGGUGUUGGGACUCGCGUUAAUUCGCGUUCCUCAAAUUGAUUGGCGGUCACGUCGAGCUUCCAUAGCGUAGUAGUAAAACCCUCGUUACUGGUAAUCGUCGCGGCCACGCCGUUAAACCCCAACUUCUGAAUGUUGACCUCGGAUCAGGUAGGAAUACCCGCUGAACUUAAGCAUAUCAAUAAGCGGAGGA
rnacentral:misc_RNA from 1 species